rnacentral:lncRNA from 1 species
GGAAAGUCUCUGGGCUGUGGGAAAAAUUGGGAAGGGGGUGGGAAGGGACAUGUGGAUGGGUUUUGUACCAACCUGGGUGAGGAGGAGACGCAGACUCUGAAAACUGGAUGCUGCUGCUGCUGCCCCAAGAAACCUGACCAAAUAGAAGGGGAGGAAUUGUAGACACUGUAACACAGGGGAGCUUUUUUCUGCAUGCUGAGAUGCGUAACAAGGCAGAGCCGUACCACUGGCGACAGAAGGUUUCAGGUUCGGCUUUUUUCAGCGCACGGAGGCAGCUUAUCCUGCCAGCCCUAACCUCUGGCCUCUCCAGGACGACGUGUACCUUCUGCAGAUCACAAAGGAUGGGGCUAGGAGCUGCCGGGCUGGGAGCUGCUGGAAGCACCAUACGUCCGGUCCCUUCAUUUCCUGCCGGGUCUAACUGGACAAGAGAAAGUCUCCAGGGGUGUCCUAAUACCAAGAUCCAUCUGGUGCUGCUGUUGAAUUUAUUUAAAUUCUUAUCAUACUUGCCACUCUUAGGACCUGAAAAUAAAUGUGGGAAGCACUUCAUCUGGCAGAUGAAGACCAGGAAUAAAACAAUGGAAAUAUGUGGGCAGUUAUUCAGAGGGCUAAACAAAAC